GUCCUACUGUAUAUAUUCUACACUUUCAGAUUUCAAAUUGAAAUGGAGCAGUUUAUGAUAAAUAAUGAGUGAUCACCACUAGUAUACUCGUGCAGCAUGCACAUACACACAAAAUGAACACACAGGUGACUAUAAAGUAUAAACAUUACUCCAGUAUACUGGACUUGUGUGGAAACCAGUGCAAGCACAGCUACCACCUCAGCAUCUGCUUUUAUUUCACUGUGGUUAACACUGCUUCAAGGUCUCGAGAGUUUCAUGCAUACAUAAAAUAUGAGCACUAAUGACCAGUUUCACCAUUACUGCAACGUGCAAUUACCAUCAUAAUGAUUUACCAUUCAUUUGCUUUCACAGCAAUGCGAAGAAUUGAGUUUAAUUAAUAAUUUGCUAGUGAGGAAUUAAUUGGAGAAUGCAGGAUGUCACAGCUGUGUGAGUGUCCCCUGCCUUGAACAGAGGGUACAAUUAAGUGAUGAUUGCCAGGCCUGCCAUGUUGAAACAUGACCCAGUCUGAAGACCAAAUCGAAGUGUGACGAUGACGGUCCGGGAGGUCGGACAACCUCCCAUGGGUAAACUACUGGUGGCAACGUAGAUGAAAACAAGUCCAGGCUAUCUUCCCUGAAAAAGUUGUUAGAUGUAAGGACCAAGAUUGCAGGAACAACAUGUCAUGUCUUUAGAAGAGAUUCUCAUGAAGCUAUCAGAGCCUUGCAGACCACUGGCUUUCUAGCUGAUAAUUUGUCAAGGCGGCCGCCUGGUAGGAUGGUGGUGUCGGUAUGAUGGCUGGUAGGCAGAACUGACUGCUUUGAUCAAGAAGAAGAAGAAGAAACUAAAAUCCACUAAAAUGCCCACUUUGCUCACUCGGUUCACUAACUUGGUAGUAAAA